rnacentral:rRNA from 1 species
AUUGAACGCUGGCGGCAUGCCUUACACAUGCAAGUCGAACGGUAACAGGUCUUUCGGGAUGCUGACGAGUGGCGAACGGGUGAGUAAUACAUCGGAACGUGCCUAGUAGUGGGGGAUAACUACUCGAAAGAGUGGCUAAUACCGCAUGAGAUCUAUGGAUGAAAGCAGGGGACCUUCGGGCCUUGCGCUACUAGAGCGGCCGAUGGCAGAUUAGGUAGUUGGUGGGAUAAAAGCUUACCAAGCCUACGAUCUGUAGCUGGUCUGAGAGGACGAUCAGGCACACUGGGAGUGAGACACGGCCCAGACUCCUACAGGAGGCAGAAGUGGGGAAUUUUGGACAAUGGGCGCAAGCCUGAUCCGGCAAUGCCGCGUGCAGGAUGAAGGCCUUCGGGUUGUAAACUGCUUUUGUACGGAACGAAAAGUCUUGGGUUAAUACCCUGGGAUCAUGACGGUACCGUAAGAAUAAGCACCGGCUAACUACGUGCCAGCCGCCGCCGUAAGAC